rfam:Paramecium tetraurelia chromosome undetermined scaffold_118, whole genome shotgun sequence.
GGUCUCGUAGCUCAGUUGGUUAGAGCGUCAGUCUAAUAAGCUGACGGUCGAGGGUUCGAUCCCCUCCGAGACCA